rnacentral:misc_RNA from 1 species
GAUGAAGAACGCAGCGAAAUGCGAUAAGUAAUGUGAAUUGCAGAAUUCAGUGAAUCAUCGAAUCUUUGAACGCACAUUGCGCCCGCCAGUAUUCUGGCGGGCAUGCCUGUUCGAGCGUCAUUUCAACCAUCAAGCCUUCGCUUGUGUUGGGGCCCCGCGGCUGCCGCGGCCCCCUAAAUCCAGUGGCGGGCUCGUCGUCGUACCGAGCGCAGUAGACAUCCUCGCUCCGGGAACCCGACGGGUGCCGGCCGUGAAACCCCCCCCAUCAAGGUUGACCUCGGAUCAGGUAGGAAUACCCGCUGAACUUAAGCAUAUCAAUAAGCGGAGGA